rnacentral:rRNA from 1 species
UAGGGAAUCUUCGGCAAUGGGGGGAACCCUGACCGAGCAACGCCGCGUGAGUGAAGAAGGUUUUCGGAUCGUAAAGCUCUGUUGUUAAGGAAGAACGAGUGUGAGAAUGGAAAGUUCAUGCUGUGACGGUACUUAACCAGAAAGGGACGGCUAACUACGUGCCAGCAGCCGCGGUAAUACGUAGGUCCCGAGCGUUGUCCGGAUUUAUUGGGCGUAAAGCGAGCGCAGGCGGUUAGAAAAGUCUGAAGUGAAAGGCAGUGGCUCAACCAUUGUAGGCUUUGGAAACUGUUUAACUUGAGUGGAGAAGGGGAGAGUGGAAUUCCAUGUGUAGCGGUGAAAUGCGUAGAUAUAUGGAGGAACACCGGUGGCGAAAGCGGCUCUCUGGUCUGUAACUGACGCUGAGGCUCGAAAGCGUGGGGAGCGAACAGG